CCGGCUGCGCCAUUGCUCUGUGGGUCCCAAGAUCCGGACUUAGAGGACGCGGGGAGGGCGGGGCGGCGCCCGGCUUCCGGGUAGUGGCAGGUGAGGCCGCGUGGGGCCAGCGGCGGCUCCUUGCUGGUCUGUGGCUCUGGGCCCAAGACCCGAGCCUCCUACAGGGGCGGCCCCCUGCCUGAGGCGCGGGUGGGUUCCGACCUCCGAGAGCCGGUGUGGAAGCACUGAGGGGCCCCUACUUUUGCCCCCGAAGUCAGCGGGGCAACAGCCGCUCCCUUGCAGGAGCCGGGCCGUGGGCUGAGGGCCCCGGUGGGUGAGAUCGGUGACCCCCGAAAACUCCGACCAAAGAGCUGCAGCAAGAAAGGAGUUGGUUCCCACAAACCGCCCAGAGUCAAGUUCUGGAGGCUGAGAAGUUCAAGAUCAAGGUGCUGGCAGAUUUGACGUCUGGAAGAUAUGCUCCAUCGAAACAUGGAAAUGAAGUAAGAAAGAGCAAGACCUAGAUCCAAGAAACAUAGAGCCGACGAGUCUCCAGGAUGCAUUAAAUGGAGACUCAAGUUGUGAGCAGUACCUGAAAGGAAGCAACAUGUCCAGAAUGGAACAGAUCGCAAAGUUCCAGGAAGGAUUUCUUCAGGAAAAUUAAAUUGAUAGAAUACUUAAUUUGAAUCUCUUGAGGAAACUUGCACACAUUGGGAAGAAUUUGGAUUAAAUUAGCAACAAGUCCAUAAAAAUACUCCCAAGUAUCAGAAGAGUGAGAUGUUUCUAAGGCCCUCGUUUUCUCUGUGCAUGGGAACUAAAAUCAGUCUGAUGGCAGCUGCACAAGAUGGGAAGGAGUAAUCCUUGAAAUUAGACCAAGGAAGCACGUGAAGUGUGUUUGCUCUCAGCCACCAGCCUCAGAAGAGCUCAAGUCCAGUCUUCUAUUGCCACACAUAUUGGCUGUUCUCCGUUUCUCCCCAUUGUAAGUAUUGACAAGCUUUUGGAGAAUAAUGAAUCGCUGAAAUAUUUGGCUUGGUUUCUCUCUUUGGGUAGAGGCGGCUGCUCUGUCUUUUCUUCCUCCUCUUUGUAUCCUUCAGCUUUUGGGUGAAGGCCCAGAGAGCUCUACAAGGGGCGGUGUGUGUUUAAGAAACUCAGCUAAAGAAACAAACGGAUCGCAAAGAGCUCUGAACUCAGAGUGUUGGGAAAAUGCUGAGCGUUGUAAUUGGCCUAAUGUUGCUCCCGCGAGAGAUGCCAUCUCCCUAGGCCUCCGAAGUUCUGGCAGGAGUUUUAACUUUUCUCAUCCAACUGAUGACAGACAAAUAUUCCUCACUUCAACAGUUACGUGCAACCCCCAAAAGAUUUCCCUGAGUCUGUCAGACACUCACUGGAACUGCUUACCAGCUCAUCUUUGAAUAUGGAAAAGCAGGCAUGGUGACAUCAGCAAAUCAGGACUGUGGGCUGUAGGUUUCAUGGAGAAUAUGGCCUCUUGCACAGUGUUGGCCUCUGCUCCCUGAGCCAGGCCGUUGGUCCAGUUGUGACUUAGGAAGGAAUGCCACUGACAAGCCACGGGCUUGCCAGGGAAUUACUCAGCAGAUGCCAACAAGUAACCUCAUAUGAUAAUCAAAUGUGAGCCAAGCUGCGAACGCUUUGCAUAACAGCAUAUUUGGAUUUGAGGCUUAGCUUUCAGAGCUUGAGUUUCACGUUUGCCCGAGCACAGUCCCAGGGCCCUUCCUGUGUGCCUGGCCUUUGCUUGCAAGUGCAGAGAGCAGUUCUUCCAAGAGCCAGAGCUUGGCUCUCCCCUCGAGGUAAUGCAGAGCCCUGCCAGAGAUCAGCUGUCUCUCAUCUCUUCUGCAGUGUUUCUCCAUAAGCCCUGGUUCUUACCAGUUGGCCAGCAACGUGGGUGACAAUGCCUCAUUUUGCUGUUUAGACACUUAAUAGUCAUUGCUGGUCUUGUCAUGGCCUUCGAUGCACCUUACCAAUGAGAGAGGUUUGUUAACUGACAGCUGCUGAUAUCACAACAUUCUACCCAGUUGUGGCUGUAGGAAUUGGCAAAGUGCUACUGCAUCAACAUGUAUUUAGGCUGUCCAAGAGCCUCUGAAAGAACCAAAAAGCUUACAGGUUUUACGCCCCUCACUCCUGGAUCUGGCCUUGCUCCUGAAGAUAUCAUGAGAGCUAGGAGUAUGAUGAAUUUAGUAUCCACGUGAUGGUGAUACACUCUCUGCUUUUCUGCACGAAUUUGCUACAGAAUGGCAGCCACAAUCUGGGAUCCUCUUGAGCUAGAGACCAGAGCCAAAUGACUGGGCUGGCCCACCCACUUUAUCAGCACUGCCUCAAUAUAUGUCAGAGUUUUCUCAAGGCCUUGGGAGUUGUGUAUCAAGGUGAUAUUGAACAUGAGUAUUCAAACAGCAAUACCUUGAAUGAGAGACAAAGGCUGGUCAGUGAUCUUUAUAAUUCUCCCAAAGAAGGAACCCCUUCAAACUCCAAGCAAGAAAAAAUUAUUCCCAUGAAAUAAACCUUUAAAUCUCCCCUGCUCAUGCCACCGGGCUCUUUGAGAUCUCUGACCUCAUCAGGAGUCUGUGGUUGUGACAGGAGUGCCCAGGUUAGAGACAGGAAGAGCUGCUGUGUCACUCAGCAACAGCUAUAUUAGAGACACAAAGCCUUCCCUAGGACUAGGCUGAUAAGGACUGAAUACCUAAAAAAGUACUUUAAAAAAGAAAUGAAUCCAUAAUUAAAGAUCCUCAAGAAAGAAGCUGACAUUUCGACACAGACCUAAUAAUAAGACCUCAUGGGAAUUUCAAAAGUUCUCCAGAGUAGGUGUGAACAGUUGGAUUUCCCUUGCCCCAUCAAUGAAGGUUUAUCCCCACCCCCAUUUCUCCAUAAGGAAAAGCUGAAGGUUGAUCUCUGAACCCUUUAUAUAAUGGGCUUAUCACCAAAUGUGGGUUGUCAUUCUCAAAGUGAAAAAUCGCUUUCCUUUCAGAAUGAAGGAGAACUCUUCUAACUUCUGUUAACUACAGACAUACUGGGGCUUGUAGAGUCCUUACGGUGUCACUACUCUUAAGCAUGAAUGGCAGAAAGCAAAAAAUACCCACUAUAGGCAGCUAUCAGUGCUUUUUGUAGCACUGGAUAUACUGCGGGCCAAGGUCAUUAUGAAAGUAAAAUUUCUUUCGAAGUGAAAAUAUACUAUUUGUGUUUUACUAGUGCAAGAGUAAAGCACAGUAAGUAUCAGUGCUUUAUUGGUAGGUAUAAGCCUCUAAAAAUCUCAACAAUUUGAACCUAUACUACAUAUCUAUAGGAACAUAUAAUGUGGCCUUUAAUGAUAAUAAUGAAAGGAAAGAAUAAAUUUUGGAAAUUCUCUGCAUAGUUUGUCAUAGAAAUUCAUCAGUCCAAAGCCUGCAAAUUAUAAAGACAAUUUUUGAAGGUUUAAGAGGUAUGUUUCAAAGAGCUGUUUUGUUAAUGUGAGCUUUGUGAAUAUCAUUAAAAAAUCUUAAAGUCACACAGCAUAUAAGAACACCUCAGGCUCCUUAGGAAUUUUGUAGAUCUUAGCAUGAAAGGCCAGAUGGUUGGCCUCUGCUGCUGAUUUCUUAUGCUGGCCGGGAAGGAGCCGUUCCCAGGAAGGACCCAGCAGAACCUUGGAGAAGAGCUGCCUCAAAGGUGAAUGUUAGUAGCCUCUGCCCCUAAAGAUUGGCUUCCCUUGGCAGCAAGGUUGUCCUUGGAAUUCCUUCUCUGGAGAUUGGUGGGGGCGUAGGUGUCCCAGUCAUGUUACCCACAGAGCAUUACUGUGAGAGCAUCCUCAGAGCAGUCCACUUUCCAAUCCCAUACCCUUCCACCGAAUGAAAUCCUGCAGACCCGAGCGCCCACUGGGAGCAAAGCAUGUGCCAACUCCCUCCCACUCUGCUAUUUAUCUGCUUUUUUCCUUUUACUUGGUCUCCUUCUAAUUACUGGGCAACCACCUCCAAUUCCAGGGAGCCAGUACUUAUUUUCUUUUUCUAGUCUAAAGAUGAAUAAGGGGUCUAUCUUCUCUACUCUGACACACAAGAUGUACUUUCUCAACUCAUUCUCCUCAAGGAAAAGAAGUUGUUGGAUGAGUCCUGUAUAUAAGUUUAUACAUGUCUUGUAAACAGCGUGUGUAUACACAGAUGCCGGGCCCUGUCAAGUGAUUUAAAUGUGGCCAGUUAUCAUCUCUCUUUCAUUGAUAGUGUGGAGGAGGGUGGGGAAAGCACCCCAGAUGAGCAAAUUGCAAUUUAGAAAAAUCCCUGGGUACUUUUAAAGCAUUAGAUCACAAUCACAUUUUUUUAAAGUGUUUUCAAUGGCAGCAUAUUGGUUGCCAUUAAAAAAAAAUUUAUUAUAGUUGAUUUACAAUGUUCUGCCAAUUUCUGCUGUUCAGCAAAGUGACCCAGUUAUACACAUAUAUGCAUUCUUUUUCUCACAUUAUCCUCCAUCCUGAGCCAUCAUAAGUGAUUGGAUAUAGUUCCCCGUGCUAUACAGUGGGAUCCUAUUGCCCAUCCACUUCAAAUGCAAGUUUUCAUCUACUAACCCCAGAGUCCCAAUCUGUCCCCCUCCCUCUCCCUCCCCUACUCCCCCCUCAUAAACACAAGUCUUGGUUGCCAUUUUUUGAAAACACUUCUUUGUGGAAAGACAUCCGUGCUCAGACCACUGUUUCUAUUCUCUUAGCUGCCUGUUUUGUUUUGUUUUCCAUAUUUAGGAUUCAUUAGGUUUAUCUAAGGUAAGUCCAUUGACAAGGCUGAGAGGAGGAUGAAAAUCAGGGAAGCAACAUGAGAACAGCAAGCUUGAGUAUUUAAAAGUGUCAAUCCUUCUUACUCUUUUCCUGGGUCUGCCACUUUCUGUCUGUGUGACUUUGGGACCCAUUGUGCCUCAGUUUCCUCAUCUGUAAAACUGAGAUUAUAACAGAGCUAACCUCAGGGAGUUGUAAUAAGUUACUAUUUGUUAAGUGUUUAGAGGUAGUCUGGCACAUCGUAAGCAUUCUCUAAAUGUCCCCCAUCUUUAUUUAUACUCAACACCUGAGGUGUUGGGCUGGGCCUUUGGCAGGAGAAUGAUUCUUCAUAUCAACACCACCAUCACAUAUUAUUGAAAAGAUUUUAGUGUGAAUGGGGCUAAUUGACACCCAAACUUCCCCUCCACUGAUAUCUCUUCUCUUUUCCCCAGGCUCAGUUUGUUCCUUUAUCUAUUCUAAACUACCCCACCGAUAACUUAUCAUGUUACUGCUCCCUCAGGGGAAUCUGUAUUUUAACAAAGAUCAAAACCUUAAGUGAAAAGAUGUCACUUGGUGGAAUUUCGGAAGGUGAGGGUGGAAGGAUAUUUCUAAGACCACUCCAAUCACAAUCCCCGCCCCCCACAGUGUGGUUGCUUCAUUUGUCUACCAGUGAGGCUGACUCUGGCAGGAAAUCACUUGCACUUUUCACUAAUUAAGGUCCCCACUCUCCUGAAUCUUGGAAUCUAAAAAAGAGCACUUGGAUCCAGAGUGAUAAUAAAUCAAGUAGCUCAGUCAAGCUCAGUGAUGUGGACUGAGUUACCCCCUGUCCCAGGUCUUGGCUUGGGGGUGGGGGGACACAGGAGGAGCAAGAGAUGUUGUUUGGCUUUAAGAACUUCAUCAUUUAUUGGAAUGGGCAAAACACAUCAGAUAGUGACAAGGAAAUGUGUGUGAGUAAAAGGAAAGGAGGUGUGUUGAUGGAAGAGAGCCUGAGGAGUUUAUAGGACAGGAACGAUUCUCAAGAACCUGAGAGUGUUGAAGGUCUUCCAAAAGGGUUAAUUGUACACUCCCUGGAGCCUGAGGUAUGGACUGGAAGUGACUUAGCCCAACCCUUUCUAGCUGGAUGAUUAACCAGCACAGGGAUCUUCACUGGAGGGAAAUGGGAGCUGAGUAUUGAUGACUCAUUCUCAUCUAUUUGACAUCAUCUUCAGAUUUUCAUUUAACUUUUCCCUUCCACAUCAGACACCCCUCAUUCUUGGGUGGUCUGCCACGCCGCUUCCUGCCAAGUCCCAGCUACUUUAGGUGGAGGACUGGAUCUUAUUUCAAAAGAAGAGGGGAAAUUGAAACCAGAAAUGCUUUGUGAUUAACUUUAAGAGAUUUUUUUUUUUUCCCCCAGUACAGGGUUCCCAAAGCCGAUAUCUCUAGUUUAGGGCAUGUUUUCUUCUUUCCAUCUUUCUUUCUUUCUUUGUGUGUGUGUGUGUGUGUGUGUGUGUGUGUGUGUGUGUGUGUGAGAAAGUUAACCAUUCAAAAUGGAAGUCUUUUUCUAAUUCAAUCUAGUUAUGCAAACAUAGCCCAUUGAUGUUAACAAAUAGGGACCAGAUGCAAAUAAUCUGCUCAAGCAUAACAUGGAAUAACUAGCAGGAGCUAAAGCAAACUGUCUGUCUCCCCACCACCCUAUUACCUCAUAAGAAUUCCUUCCAUUUGGAAAUGAGCAAGAGGAAAAGGAGGAAAAAAGGGGGUUAUUAAGAUGUUUCAAACAAUUUUAAAAUGACAGCAAUAGAGUUGCUUGGAUUCCACAAGACUGCCGUGUAAACUGAAGUAAUUUCAGAGUUAUGUGAAAUUAGACCUGCAUCCCCUAAGAAAGGUUAGGUACCUCCAUCUCUGGAAGGAUAAAUUAAUUACAUCAGGAAAGCAGAUUCCAAGUGGAGGACACUAAGUCAGUGAUUCAUAGCCAGGUGUGCAAAAGAAGACUUGGUUCUCUACAUUUCACUGAACAGGGCGUCACUGAAUAUAGUGAAGUUUUAUGACAUCCCCUGGGGCACUGGCUGUUUUAACUGUUCUGAAUAGACAGCCCAGCAAUUGUUGGGUGAGGCCUAACACAGGGAAUCCUAGAAUGGCAGUGGUGCUGUCAUUUUCUGUAGAGAAGAAAGUUUCAUUUGAGCAAAAGAAGUUAGGUAGAAUAAACCAGUUCUUAGCAAGUCCCCACACCUCUGAGCUGGCUACCACUGCUGCCUGAUUUUCUCAGCAUAUGCCACUGCCUUAUAGGUAGUGGCUGUUUGACCAAGAGGUGGAAUCUCAACUAGUGGAGUGGGACAGAUCUUCUUUUAGAACAAUUCUUGAAUUUUAAGGAUUUUUUUUUUUUUUUUGAGGGGGGCAGGGUCCAGGACUGGGUUCUGUGAACCUUCACAGAUGGCAGAGAAUAAGAUAAAAUGUAGGCCAGAAAAAAAAAAAAAAAAAAAAGAGAGAGAGAGAUAGCAAUUCUUCAAGUUAGGAAAAGUCUCCAGAGAAACAUUUGGGUGAAAUCUUCUCAUUUUAGUUCUGUGACUGAUUAGACACAAACCAGAAAAUGCCCAGAAGGUGCUUCGUGGAUGUGGGUGGAAUGAAUGUUGACCAAAACCCUGAAGCUCCUUUCUUGAGAUUCUCCAGAGCUUGGAUGAUAUUGACAGGAAGUCCUUCUUGAAGUCAACCUCAAGUCCUUCUCUAGCAACUUUAGCUCUUUUUCUCCCUUCUUGCUCUGAGGAAAAACAGGGAAGAUACUGAUAUUGCUGUUCUUACGUCUCUGUUAAAUUUGUGCAUAUGAAACCUGCCCUCAAUCUUCCAUAUUGUGGAGUAAAUAACCCCUAUUUUGUAAGCUUUUCCUUAUAAAAAACAAUUACACAAACAUUCCCAUGUGCCCAUCUUAAGAAUCACAGAUAUUUAGAAAAUAGCAUAUGACCAUGUAGACAUAGCCACACUGAGAUAAAUAAUGUGCUUCUUUCAUAAAGAGCUCGCUUCCUGUGAAAUCCCUGCAUCCUGGGUAGUUGGUGGCAGCGCCGUAGGUUUCUGUCUUUUCUCUCGAGCCUGGAAGGAGGUGAUGAGCAAGACUAAUAAGAUGCAGCCUCACACUGAUUAAAUGUCCAUUUUCUUGGGGAAAUGGCUGACAGGAGCAGGAUAAAGCUGUGAGGAAGCUUGUAGCAAUUUCCCAAACCCACCACUACCAGUGAGCUUUAUUUGUGUGCUUAGAGCUAUUAUUAGCGAAACAAUGGCUGGAAAAUGUACCAGGGAGAAAACGAAGAAAUGACAGACCUGUUUUUAAAAAGUAAGAGAAAAGCUUCUUUUGUUAAGUUUUUGAAAGCAGAAAGUUUCAUUCUAGCAGGUUACAUCAUUCAGCCGUACACCUAGUCAAGGAAGGUGAACUGGCAGAGUGAGCUCCACUUAUUUGCAUGCGGGCUCUGGUCUGAGGGGCCACUGCCCACAUGGAAGCAUGAGCUCAAGGCUCUCCACUAGGGAAGAAAAGUGUGGGGCUGGCCUUAAAAUCCUAAAUCCACCUGUGACCAUGCUGGUGGGGCGGAGAGGGUAUGUGAUGGUGAACAGAGGAAGCUGUUGUUUUUAGAGAGUGGUGGAAAGGACUCUGGCUAGGCCUGUGCUUUCCAACACAGAGGCCACUAGCCACAUGUGGCUACUGCUCUGACUGAGAUGUGCUCUAAGUGUAAAAUACGCACCAGAGCCCAAAGAAUUACUAUGGGGAAAAGAAAGAAUGCAAAAUACAUCAUUUAUCAUAUUUAAGAUCAACUACAUGUUGAAAUGAUAUUCUGGAUAGAUUGGACUAGAUAAAAUAUAUGAUUAAAGUGAAUACCACAACACAAGUGGACCUUGAAAACACAAUGCUAAGCAAAAGAAGCCACACACAGAAGCCCACCAUUGUAAGGUUCCACUUAUGUGAAAUGGCCAAGAGGCAAAUCCAUACGUAUAGAAGGUAGAUGGUUGGUUGCUUAGGGCUGGGGUUUUGGAGGGCAAUGGGAAGUGAGUGCCAGUGGGUAUGGAGUUUCUUUAAGGGGUGAUGAAAAUGUUCUAAAAUUGAUUGUGGUACUUGUUGUACAACUCUGUAAAUACACUUCAAAUGGAUGAAAUGUAUGGUAUGUGAAUUAUAUCUAAAUAAAGCUGUUUAAAAUAAA